AGUGAACGCUGGCGGUAGGCCUAACACAUGCAAGUCGAACGGCAGCACAGUAAGAGCUUGCUCUUACGGGUGGCGAGUGGCGGACGGGUGAGGAAUACAUCGGAAUCUACUUUUUCGUGGGGGAUAACGUAGGGAAACUUACGCUAAUACCGCAUACGACCUACGGGUGAAAGCAGGGGAUCUUCGGACCUUGCGCGAUUGAAUGAGCCGAUGUCGGAUUAGCUAGUUGGCGGGGUAAAGGCCCACCAAGGCGACGAUCCGUAGCUGGUCUGAGAGGAUGAUCAGCCACACUGGAACUGAGACACGGUCCAGACUCCUACGGGAGGCAGCAGUGGGGAAUAUUGGACAAUGGGCGCAAGCCUGAUCCAGCCAUACCGCGUGGGUGAGGAAGGCCUUCGGGUUGUAAAGCCCUUUUGUUGGGAAAGAAAAGCAGCAGGUUAAUACCCCGCUGUUCUGACGGUACCCAAAGAAUAAGCACCGGCUAACUUCGUGC
rnacentral:rRNA from 1 species